rnacentral:rRNA from 1 species
CCUACGGGGGGCUGCAGUGGGGAAUAUUGCACAAUGGGGGAAACCCUGAUGCAGCGACGCCGCGUGAAGGAAGAAGGUCCUCGGAUCGUGAACUUCUAUCAGCAGGGAAGAAGAAAGUGACGGUACCUGAAUAAGAAGCCCCGGCUAACUACGUGCCAGCAGCCGCGGUAAUACGUAGGGGGCAAGCGUUAUCCGGAAUCACGGGGUGUAAAGGGUGCGUAGGCGGUAGGGCAAGUCAGAUGUGAAAGGCCGGAGCUCAACUCCGGGAUUGCAUUUGAAACUGUCUUAAUAGAGUGCAGGAGGGGAUGGCGGAAUUCCUAGUGUAGCGGUGAAAUGCGUAGAUAUUAGGAAGAACACCAGUGGCGAAGGCGGCUUUCUGGACUGUAACUGACGCUGAGGCACGAAAGCGUGGGGAGCGAACAGGAUUAGAUACCCUAGUAGUC